rnacentral:lncRNA from 1 species
UCCAGGGCCUAACCACUCUCCUAGUGAAGAACUUCCCCCUAACAUCCAACCUAAAUCUUCCCUCUUUUAACUUAAAACCAUUUCCCCGUGUCCUGCUAAUCCCAAACUAGAACACGACAAAUUAAACAGAUACCACCUUUCACAGCAUACUCCUCUUCCACUAUGGCCAUCAAGUAUUUGCUCUGUGUCUGCAAUAUAACCUUAUUCCAAAGAAAGCCACACUUUCUAAGGCAGAGCGGAGCAGUUCAGCAGCAGAACCACCACCUCACCCAGCCGAGCUCCAGGAGCAGAUGCCGAACCGCAUGGACAUACCUGAGGGAGCUCUCUCUUUGACACAGUAGGACAUUUUUUCCACAAAGUCUGCUGCUCAAUGUCCCAAUAUCUUACAUCAGCCCUGGACCCGCGCUGCCUGCGGGCGGGUCGCCGUCCAUCGCGGCCGCAGUCAUGUGAGGCCGCGGCCCGGCGGGCGCCCUCCCCUUCCUCCUCAGCGCCCGCCUGUCAGUGCGGGCGGGGCCGGGAGGGGGCGGCGGGGGCGGGUGGCGGCGCAGCCCCGGAGCCCUUGAGGUUGGAGUAGCGCUGUGAGGGCUGUAACGGCAGCUAGCCGAGCUCCACAACGCUACGGCUCCGCUGCGCCUCCGUGGCAGCUUUGGGGCUCCACAGCCCUACCUCUGGUUGUACUCCUGUCCUCAGUGUAAGGGAACCAGCGUUGGCAGUGUGAGGGUUCAUGGGUGUACAUGUAACAUGAAAUAAUACGGCCCUUCCAGUCACACGGAGAGCAGGACGUGCUACACAGCUCCAGGCAGACGAGACGUACCAACACAACGUUGGGUGUUUUCUUCCAUGGAAUUACCCUUUCCCACAGUGUUUCAUUCCUCCUGCCAUCUGGUCAUGCCCUUCAGAUGGUUCCUGCACUAAAUAUUUUAUAUCUUUUGAAGGAUUUAGAUACUUACAAAACAUUACUGAAAUCACUUGUUUUUUCCCCCUAAAGGAAAAGACUACAGAGACACAAACGAUUGGACAGAUUCUAUUUCCUUCUGGGAUCCCCACAAGUGUGGGUGCAGGCUGGAUCUGUGUGUAAAACCAAAACAUCGUGGCAUUACUUAAGCUGAGAGGCCCUUCAACUCGUGUUUGUGCAGCUGAGUGCUGAGUUCUGCAUGCUCAGCUCUUCUGGAAGCAGAGCACUGCAUCGCUUUUUGCCUAUAUAGCAUUUUUUGUUGAGAAAAUGAAUGGAGGAAUCAAUGUGUUCCUGUGUAACUACAGAUCUCCGAUGGGUCUGUGCUUCAGCUAAUAGCAUAACUACUUAUUUGGUAUAAAUAAGGUGCUCUAAUUUGAAGAUUGCUUCUGUUUGUCCCUGUGUAUUGUAAACACAGCAAAAGCUACUGGAAAACCUGUAGAGUGAAGAAACUAUCACUAGAAAAAGGGCUGAUGUCACCAAGAUGCAGGCAAUAAAUGUCACACACAAAUCCA